rnacentral:rRNA from 1 species
CCUACGGGAGGCAGCAGUGGGGAAUAUUGCGCAAUGGGCGAAAGCCUGACGCAGCGACGCCGCGUGAGGGAUGAAGGUCUUCGGAUCGUAAACCUCUGUCAGCAGGGAAGAACGGUCACUGUGCUAAUCAGCAGUGAAUUGACGGUACCUGCAAAGGAAGCACCGGCUAACUCCGUGCCAGCAGCCGCGGUAAUACGGAGGGUGCGAGCGUUAAUCGGAUUUACUGGGCGUAAAGCGCACGUAGGCGGUAUGUCAAGUCAAGGGUGAAAUCCCCGGGCUCAACGUGGGAACUGCCUUUGAAACUGGCAGACUGGAGUGGAGGAGAGGAUAGUGGAAUUCCAGGUGUAGGAGUGAAAUCCGUAGAUAUCUGGAGGAACAUCAGUGGCGAAGGCGACUAUCUGGCACAUAACUGACGCUGAGGAGCGAAAGCGUGGGUAGCAAACAGGAUUAGAUACCCGGGUAGUC